rnacentral:rRNA from 1 species
AUGCACGCUGGCGGCGUGCUUAACACAUGCCAGUCGAACGGAAAGGCCUCUGCUUGCAGGGGUACUCGAGUGGCGAACGGGUGAGUAACACGUGGGUGAUCUGCCCUGCACUUCGGGAUAAGCCUGGGAAACUGGGUCUAAUACCGGAUAGGACAAUGGUUUGGAUGCUGUUGUGGAAAGUUUUUCGGUGUGGGAUGAGCUCGCGGCCUAUCAGCUUGUUGGUGGGGUAAUGGCCUACCAAGGCGUCGACGGGUAGCCGGCCUGAGAGGGUGUACGGCCACAUUGGGACUGAGAUACGGCCCAGACUCCUACGGGAGGCAGCAGUGGGGAAUAUUGCACAAUGGGCGCAAGCCUGAUGCAGCGACGCCGCGUGGGGGAUGACGGCCUUCGGGUUGUAAACUCCCUUCGCUAGGGACGAAGCGUUUUUGUGACGGUACCUGGAGAAGAAGCACCGGCUAACUACGUG